GUCAACAACUUGUAACAACCUUGUUGAUAUUAUCAGGCUUGUUGCAAGGUUAUUCCAACAAGUCUGAUGCAGUCAUGAUAUAACAAUAUUGUUACAACCUUGUGCGGUCGAUCUUGUAACAUCCUUGUAACAAGUCUGAUAAUAUCGACAAGAUUGUUACAAGUUGUUAAC